UUGAAAGAUGCGUAGUAUACAUUAAAACGCCAAAGAAUCAACAUGAUACUCUUAAAGGUUUCUCAGAUUGUUUUUAUAUUUGUCAUCAUCUUGGCAUUGUGGUGCGAUCAAGCGACAGCAUUACCAAAGAAAAAACCGAAAACGAAAUCAAAACCAAAAUCGAGACCCAACGUCAAUGUUAAUACACACAUAAAUAUACAUAUUGGCUGAAAUGGGAAAUCGUUCAGAUAAGAGUACCACCCGACCGAUACUAUCGAUUUGCACACCGAAUUCUAGUCUAAAAUAAAUAUUACGAAUUUCAAAUUGGCAAUACAUAAGCUUCAUACGAGAUUAUUUUUAUUGAAUAUUUUGAAUUUGUUGGAUUUUCCAAGAGAAGUGGAGCGUUAUGACAUAUCUUCAAAAUUAAUCAAUUUAACACAAAACAAAAAAUCAAAUGUUUUAAAGAUCGAAAGAAAGAAACAUAAAAUUAGACAAGCGGUUGAGGGGCGGUGUCGCUUUAUUUGAUUCAAAAUUUUGAAAAUUUUCCAUAGUUGAUUUAAAAUUCUAAAAAAUUUCGUAUGCUUGGAACUUUGUUUUUUAUCAACAAUCGUUUGUUUUUUAAUUUAUUUGAUUUUUAUUUAGUUUAUUAUUAAGAAUGUUUAGAUAUAAGAGAAAAAUAUGAGCCGGCUUUUGACAUGGAAAGGAGUGCUUCCUCCUUCUUCAUGCCUUAAUACUUCCUACGUUGAUUUUUGAAUGUCCUUCCUUUUUUCCAUUUCAUAGGCCAGCCAACAUUUUUUUGUCGAACAAUAGCAUUUCUUUAACAGACCCAUAAUAUAUCGUACAAUUGGAAUAUCCAAUUCUAUGAAACAGUCAAUUCUAUGUUGGUACAAUCCACCAGAUGAGAUAAUAAAAUAUAUUUCUUGUGUUUUAUAAUUUGUUUUUUUUUUAAUACAAUGUUAUCAUUUAGUAAAUAUGUAUCAUUGAUCAUCAUAUGUAGCUAUGUAUGUAUGUUGUUCCUACAAUCCAUGAUUAACAGCUAAUCAAAACUUUCAGUAUAUAUUAAAACGCCAAAGAAUCAACAUGAAACUCUUAAAGGUUUCUCAAAUUGUUUUUAUUUUUGUUAUCAUCUUGACAUUGUGGUGCGAUCAAGCGACAGCAUUACCAAAGAAACCCCCGAGGCCGAGAGCGUGUCCGAGACCGAAAGCGUGUCCGAGACCGAGACCAAGACCAAGACCGGUACCGGGACCGAGACCCAACGUCAAUGUUCAGAAUCACAUACAUAUACAUAUUAGACAUGUUGGCUGAAAUGGGAAAUCGUUAAUGGAUAUUUACAUAAGAGCGAAAUAAUUAUAGAAUUGAAAAUAGUAAAUAUUUGAGAAAGGUUUUACAUAUCCUAAAAUAAUAAUAAAUCAAUAGUAAUCAAAAAUCAAUAAUU